UCGGGAAUAUUGCGCAAUGGAGGAAACUCUGACGCAGUGACGCCGCGUGCAGGAAGAAGGUUUUCGGAUUGUAAACUGCUUUAGACAGGGAAGAAACAAGACAGUACCUGUAGAAUAAGCUCCGGCUAACUACGUGCCAGCAGCCGCGGUAAUACGUAGGGAGCAAGCGUUAUCCGGAUUUAUUGGGUGUAAAGGGUGCGUAGACGGGAAUGCAAGUUGGUUGUGAAAUCCCUCGGCUCAACCGAGGAAUUGCAACCAAAACUAUAUUUCUUGAGUGCUGGAGAGGAAAGUGGAAUUCCUAGUGUAGCGGUGAAAUGCGUAGAUAUUAGGAGGAACACCAGUGGCGAAGGCGACUUUCUGGACAGUAACUGACGUUGAGGCACGAAAGUGUGGGGAGCAAACAGGAUUAGAUACC
rnacentral:rRNA from 1 species